rnacentral:lncRNA from 1 species
GGAGAAGAAGAUUCUGGGAGCUGCUUCAGACACCAGUAACUGUUUCUCUGUUACUAAGUUCAUGAUUAGGUUUGGAAAUAAGGAAAUUGGAACCCUGCAUCCAGCUUUGGGCUCCAGUGCUCAUUACUUAACAAAUUGACCUUGCUUGAAGACCCAACUUGCUACCUCUGAGGUGGUUGCCUUGAUAUUUUGUGUUAUCUUCGAAAGUUUGCCUCGAGCUGUUGGUGGCAUAAACCGGAGAUAGCUGGGAUUCCAUGGGAGAGUGGCGCCUGCUUUUACCUAACCAUAAAUCUCUUGGGUGAUUCCUCCAGGAACACCAAGGAAAUGUUGGUUGGGUUGAUUGUGUUUGGAGUUUUUGGGAGUGGGAUACAGGGACCCUUUAAGACUCCAGUCGUGGAGGAAGAGAGCGCCGUGAAGUGUCUGUCCCCAGCGUCUGUUCUGGCCUCCUUGCCACAGGCUUACUGUGUAGGCCUGGCUGCCCUGUGGCUUCGUGAGGACUACAGGUGUUCACCAUUCCUGUCUGACCCUCAUGCACAGAAGUAGACAGAUGUGGUUUACAUCUUGCCAUCGGAAUCGGAAACAGUUCCUCUGUCCAGGAGUUUAACUAGUGAGCGAUGUGCACCUUCUUGCUGCUCCAGCCAGCCUUCCCUUGCUGGGUCUUGGUGUCAGGGUACAGCUUGCCUGGUGUGUGUGUGCCGUCCUCCCCAUGCAGAUGCCCAGCGCCCACUCCCGAUGCAGUUUUGAUCUCCCCUUACUUUUGCACUGGAAGCUAACUCCUUGUGUGUUUUCAGAUCAUUUUUUUAUGGACAGAAUAGGCCUACUGGCUGUUGUUUUGUUUUGUUUUCCCAAUUCAGCCGUGUUGAAUCUCACUUGGGGCAUUUUAGGAACAGACAUAUAUACCAAGGUUUUGGUAACCCCUUGAAUCCAGGAGCUUGUGGUGUUUUCCAUGUUAUAAAACUCAGGGUCAGAGAAAGACAUGCACGUGAAAGGUCAAGGACAUUACUCCAGCCUUCCUUCUCUGUCUGCAUGGCAUGAGUCACAGAAGGUAUUGGGGUCCCACCUCUGAGCAGUAGCCAGGUCUUCUCGUAGAGACCCAGCUGCCUCUGCCACACUGCACUUGGCUUCAAACUAACAUGCCUAUUUCUGGAAGGUGGUAUUCCCCAUUUCUUUUUAAGUCAUUGUUGCUGUGGUGAAGCACCAUGGCCAGAAGCAAGCUGGGGAGGAAAGGGUUAUUUGACUUAUGCUUCCACAUAGCUGCUC